rnacentral:misc_RNA from 1 species
GCCAGGAGGUCUGCCUCUUGCUUUCUUUGCAGUGGAUGAUGGCGAAGGAGGAGACUGGAAUCCAGAAUGGUGAAGAAGAGGAGACUGGUGGGGUUCAUGGUGCUGGUGGUGGUGGGACAGCGGAGAUGUGAGGUUGAGGCUGACAUUACCAUGGGGUGGAGAGUAUUUCCUUGGCCGCCCGCGUUUCCUCUUCAUUGGCUCCGCAGUAUUCAUGUUAAGUCCAUCAACACUGACAUCGACGCCGAUCCCGCCACAACCCAUUAGCAUCAUCUCAUGGUGGUGCGGUGGGAUUGAUUGAAGAUGAUGAAGUGUAUCAUCGGUAGUAAUAGGCAUGAUGGGCUGGUAAACUGGAGUAGCCUCAUCUGCUCUGAAUGCCAAGUUCAUAUUUGAUGAUGGGGUUAUGGUUGGGCUCUGAUUCCUUUCACCGCCUCCUCCGUACGAUUCUCUUCCUGACAUUUUUCAAAAGGAAAAUGGAUUUUGUAGAUGAACAAGGUCGAUGCAAGCUUCGAAGCGCCAAGGAAAAAUAACUAAGAAAUUAGGGUUUUCGUAAUUUUUUUUUAUUUUUAAUUUUCUUGUUUUUUUUCCGGCUUUAUUUUUAUUUUCGUUUUUAAAAAGGAGGCUGAUUAACA